CCUACGGGAGGCAGCAGCUAAGAAUCUUCCGCAAUGGGGGAAACCCUGACGGAGCGACGCCGCGUGGACGAAGAAGGCCGCAAGGUUGUAAAGUCCUUUUGCAGACGAAGAAUAAGGCAAGGAGUGGAACGCCUUGUUGAUGACGUUAGUCUGCGAAUAAGCCCCGGCCAAUUACGUGCCAGCAGCCGCGGUAACACGUAUGGGGCGAGCGUUGUUCGGAAUUACUGGGCGUAAAGGGCGUGUAGGCGGUUUCGUAAGCCUGGCGUGAAAGUCAUCGGCCCAACCGAUGGACAGUGCUGGGAACUGCGGGACUGGAGUUUUGGAGGGGGAGCUGGAAUUCCAGGUGUAGGGGUGAAAUCUGUAGAGAUCUGGAAGAACACCGGAGGCGAAGGCGAGCUCCUGGCCACAGACUGACGCUGAGGCGCGAAAGCGUGGGGAGCAAACAGGAUUAGAUACCCUGGUAGUCCACGCUGUAAACGAUGUGCACUAGGUGUUGGUGCCAUACGGGCAUCGGUGCCGUAGUUAAGGCGAUAAGUGCACCGCCUGGGGAGUAUGCUCGCAAGGGUGAAACUCAAAGGAAUUGACGG
rnacentral:rRNA from 1 species